rnacentral:rRNA from 1 species
CCUACGGGUGACAGCAGUGAGGAAUAUUGGUCAAUGGGCGAGAGCCUGAACCAGCCAAGUCGCGUGAAGGAUGACGGCCCUACGGGUUGUAAACUUCUUUUGUCAGGGAGCAAUUGAGUCCACGUGUGGGCUUAGCGAGAGUACCUGAAGAAAAAGCAUCGGCUAACUCCGUGCCAGCAGCCGCGGUAAUACGGAGGAUGCGAGCGUUAUCCGGAUUUAUUGGGUUUAAAGGGUGCGUAGGCGGAAUAUCAAGUCAGCGGUAAAACUUCGGGGCUCAACCCCGUCGUGCCGUUGAAACUGACGGUCUUGAGUGGGCGAGAAGUAUGCGGAAUGCGUGGUGUAGCGGUGAAAUGCAUAGAUAUCACGCAGAACUCCGAUUGCGAAGGCAGCAUACCGGCGCCCAACUGACGCUGAAGCACGAAAGCGUGGGUAUCGAACAGGAUUAGAUACCCGAGUAGUC